rnacentral:rRNA from 1 species
GUACCUGACUAAGAAGCCCCGGCUAACUACGUGCCAGCAGCCGCGGUAAUACGUAGGGGGCAAGCGUUAUCCGGAUUUACUGGGUGUAAAGGGAGCGUAGACGGCACAGCAAGUCUGAUGUGAAAGCCCGGGGCCCAACCCCGGAACUGCAUUGGAAACUGCUGGGCUUGAGUGCAGGAGAGGUAAGCGGAAUUCCUAGUGUAGCGGUGAAAUGCGUAGAUAUUAGGAGGAACACCAGUGGCGAAGGCGGCUUACUGGACUGUAACUGACGUUGAGGCUCGAAAGCGUGGGGAGCAAACAGGAUUAGAUACCCUGGUAGUCCACGCCGUAAACGAUGAUUACUAGGUGUCGGGGGCACCAAGGUCCUUCGGUGCCGCCGCACACGCAAUAAGUCAUCCACCUGGGGA